CGGCGGCCUAUCAUGCAGUCGAGCGGACAGAAGGGAGCUUGCUCCCGGAUGUUAGCGGCGGACGGGUGAGUAACACGUGGGUAACCUGCCUGUAAGACUGGGAUAACUCCGGGAAACCGGAGCUAAUACCGGAUAGUUCCUUGAACCGCAUGGUUCAAGGAUGAAAGACGGUUUCGGCUGUCACUUACAGAUGGACCCGCGGCGCAUUAGCUAGUUGGUGAGGUAACGGCUCACCAAGGCGACGAUGCGUAGCCGACCUGAGAGGGUGAUCGGCCACACUGGGACUGAGACACGGCCCAGACUCCUACGGGAGGCAGCAGUAGGGAAUCUUCCGCAAUGGACGAAAGUCUGACGGAGCAACGCCGCGUGAGUGAUGAAGGUUUUCGGAUCGUAAAGCUCUGUUGUUAGGGAAGAACAAGUGCAAGAGUAACUGCUUGCACCUUGACGGUACCUAACCAGAAAGCCACGGCUAACUACGUGCCAGCAGCCGCGGUAAUACGUAGGUGGCAAGCGUUGUCCGGAAUUAUUGGGCGUAAAGGGCUCGCAGGCGGUUUCUUAAGUCUGAUGUGAAAGCCCCCGGCUCAACCGGGGAGGGUCAUUGGAAACUGGGAAACUUGAGUGCAGAAGAGGAGAGUGGAAUUCCACGUGUAGCGGUGAAAUGCGUAGAGAUGUGGAGGAACACCAGUGGCGAAGGCGACUCUCUGGUCUGUAACUGACGCUGAGGAGCGAAAGCGUGGGGAGCGAACAGGAUUAGAUACCCUGGUAGUCCACGCCGUAAACGAUGAGUGCUAAGUGUUAGGGGGUUUCCGCCCCUUAGUGCUGCAGCUAACGCAUUAAGCACUCCGCCUGGGGAGUACGGUCGCAAGACUGAAACUCAAAGGAAUUGACGGGGGCCCGCACAAGCGGUGGAGCAUGUGUUUAAUUCGAAGCAACGCGAAGAA
rnacentral:rRNA from 1 species